CCCCGGAUGCACACUACACCUGCGCUCAGCCGGCCAACCAGGAACCGGUGGAAAAGGCUUUUGUUGCAAAGAAACCGGUCUAGAGGCUCAACAGGGACGUGGGGCGGCGACCACAACAGACGUGAGCAACCGAGCUUCUCCACAGGCGGGAAAGAGGGGAAGGGAGGGUGGGCUGGGUCUUGGUUCUGCCCCAAAUUCCAUUUUGAGCAGUAAAGGUCUCAGGGCAAAGAGGAAGACAGGCAGCCGAGGAAAGGGGCUGGGGUGGGUCAGGGUCUCACAGCCACGGCUCCUGGAUGGCUGGUCCGGCCUCCGUCCCCAUCCUUUCCUGCCAGUGGCUGCAGCCCCAGAAGCUCAAGGGACUCAAAGUGCCGACUGUGGGCAGAGGACAGUGGUGCUGGGUGGGCGUGUGGGGCUGCGGGCAGGGGAGCCCAGCAGUGGGGAGGCAGCCCCGGGCCUGUGCCAGCCCUGCUCACUUGUCCAAGCUCAGAAACUUGAACCUCAGCCCACGGGGCUUAUCCCCGAACACUCCCUCCAUGUCAGUGGGACUCUGCUCCAGAACAUUCUGCAGGCAUUCCCACCAGACUUUUCUGUCCUGUGAGAACCUGGGCCCUGCUUUCCCCGGCCCAUGAUCCCAGUGGCCCCUGCCCUCUGCUUGCUCCUCUCCUGGGUGACCCCAAUCCUCAGCCCAGGGCUCUGGGCCUUGUGUGGAGCCGGGCCCCUGUCGCUUUCUUAAAUUCAAACAAAACUGAGGGAGGAGCAGGGCGUGGAGUCUGGUCUCCUCGUGGUUCUCUGCGGCAGCUCACCUGGGUCAGCCGCCCGGAGACACCUUUGCUCCAGGAAAGGGCAGGUUUUCUGAGAGCCUAGCAGCAGGGCCAGUCUAUCACCAAGUCCAGCCUCUUCUCUCCUUGGCUGGUACACAAACUUCAAGUGCAGGUCAGUAAAGUCCCCAAACUAUCACGGCCCAACCGCUGGCCUGUUUGCUCCCAGGACAGACAGGCAGUGCUAUGGUUCCACGUCCAAAAAAAAGGCACUGUUUAACCUCCGCCUCUCCAGGGCGAUCCCUUUUACAAAAACCACGAUGACAUGGAAAGAUUUGUAAGAAGAUGCUGAGUCAAAGAACAGACCUCAAAAUCAUGUGUCAGCCCUGCUAAAAGUUUAUCCACCAUAAGAUAAAGACAAAGGAAUCACAGAAGCCCACAUGCUGUCUCACACGGGUGAUUUAGGGUGGAGGGUCCCGCGGGUGCUGGUGGACACGGACCCUCACACGGGUGAUUUAGGGUGGAGGCUCCCGCGGGUGCUGGUGGACACGGACCCUCACACGGGUGAUUUAGGGUGGAGGCUCCCGCGGGUGCUGGUGGACACGGACCCUCGCAGGGGUCACUGAGGUAUUUUCUUUAAUUUUCUGUGUCUUCAAAGGCAGCUCUAAAGAGCACUGGAACUCUCAACAUGUUACAGGUUUAAGAAGAGAAAAAAGGUUUCUCUCUUCCUAUCACCAGAAGAGCCCGACCCUUGGGGUUUUCUUAUUUUCUGGCAGUAAAGUGAGAAUUUAGUCAACAGCCGCUCCCGGGUGGUGCCUCUGCCCUGGGAGGAGGGGGACGCAGAGGAUCUGUCCCAUUUUUCUCCCCUCCCCUGAUUGCUGCUGCUGAGACCUGAGAGGCCCGAAAUGGCCUCACUCCUCCCCCAGGCUUUUCCCAAUCAGCCUCCAGGUGCCUGGACUGCCCUGUGGUGUGGAGGACCCCUGGCGGGGCGCAGGGAGAGGGGGAGGGGUCACAACCCAGAAAGGCAUCAGGGAAGAAGCCGAGUGGAGGAAGUGUGGCCGCCGCCCAGCCCCAAUCUGCUCACAGAACCAUCCUCGGGCAGCCUUGGGGGAUGGAGCACCCAGAACUGCCUGGAGGAGAAAAGCGUGAGCUAAAGCCACUCCCAGGAAGGCCGGGCCAGAGGCUGUGGAGACUCGGAUCCUGAGGCAAAAGGAAGCCGAGUCAGGGACGCGCUUCCUUCCCCAGGGCUCGUCCCCAGCGCCACCCGCCCUUCUCUAGAGCCCCAUCCCCAGCGCGAACCUCCAGGAGGAAGCAGCAGUCACCACGCGGGGACAGAAGGGGGAGAGCUCGAGCCAGGGCCCAGCGAUUGGAGUCCGCGGAACGCAGGGACAUGAAGUCCAGCAGAGAAAACUAAAAACUGGCAACACUUCCAUGGAUAAAAAUUCAGCCUCUCCCUCUACAAUAGCAACAAACCCCAAACCAGGAAACAGAGACCCCUGUAAAUAACCCACCAAGAUAAAUUCCACACCCUCCACCAGUGUUUCAGGCUACAGGGUGGGAUAUGCGGGGAGGUGGCGGAGACCCAUCUUGAAUCAGAAAUUCAAGGACUAAGUGCAAAACUGGACCCUAAUGGGGUGGGUCUAGAGCAUUGAAGAAAGUGCAUUAGUGCUUGGCUAGGGCUGGCAGGUGGCUGUUAGAUGAGGUGCGCCCCUGGGUGCAGGAAGUGUUUUUUGGGGGAUGACAACUUCCUAACAUUAGAUGGUAGUGGUGACUGGUGAUUGUACAGCCCUAUAAAUUUGCUAAAAAAAAAUUGAAUUGCACAUUUUAAUAGGUGAAUUGUAUGGCAUGUGAAUUAUACCUCAAUAAAGCUUUUAUAUAAAAUUGGAUCGAUUUAACUAAAAAAAGAAAUUUUAAGAAGAGACAAAAUUGGUUGGGUGUGGUGGCUCAUGCCUUUAAUCUCAGCACUUUGGAAGGCUGAGGUCGGGGGGGUGGAUUGCUUGAGCCCAGGAGUUCGAGACCAGCCUGGGCAACAUGUCGAAACCAGUCUCUACCAAAAAUAGGAAAAAAGUAGCUGGGCAUGGUUGUGUGCACCUGUAGUCUCAGCUACUCAGGAGGCUGAGGUACAAGGAUUGCUUGAACCUGGGAGGCAGAGGUUGUAGUGAGUGAGCCACUGCACUCCAGCCUCAGGAACAGAGUGAGACCCUGUCUCAAAAAAAAAAAAAAAAAAAAGGAACAAAAUAUAUGAAAAAUGAAGACUAAAUUACAAAAUCCUUAAGAGAAAAUGAUUUUAAUUAAAAAUUUAAUAAGGGACACUGAAGAAAGGAAAAUAGAAAUUAUAUAAUGAAAGAAGUGAAAAGGGUUAGAAAGACUAAGAAAAUCUAACCAACAUAGAAUUGGAGUUUUUAAAACACAAAAAACAAUAGACAUAGCUAGUAUUUAAAACGGACGCCUACAGGUGCGUCCCACGGGGGAUGGGGACACGGACGCCUGCAGGUGCACCCCCACGGGGGGACGGGGACACGGACGCCUGCAGGUGCACCCCACGGGGAGGACGGAGACAUGGAUGCCUGCAGGUGCACCCCCACGGGGAGGACGGGGACACGGACGCCUACAGGUGCACCCCCACGGGGGGGACGGGGACACAGACGCCUGCAGGUGCACCCCCACGGGGGGACGGGGACACGGACGCCUGCAGGUGCACCCCCACGGGGGGGACGGGGACACGGAC
rnacentral:lncRNA from 10 species